rnacentral:rRNA from 1 species
GACGAACGCUGGCGGCGUGCUUAACACAUGCAAGUCGAACGGAAAGGCCCUGCUUUUGUGGGGUGCUCGAGUGGCGAACGGGUGAGUAACACGUGAGUAACCUGCCCUUGACUUUGGGAUAACUUCAGGAAACUGGGGCUAAUACCGGAUAGGAGCUCCUGCUGCAUGGUGGGGGUUGGAAAGUUUCGGCGGUUGGGGAUGGACUCGCGGCUUAUCAGCUUGUUGGUGGGGUAGUGGCUUACCAAGGCUUUGACGAGUAGCCGGCCUGAGAGGAUGACCGGCCACAUUGGGACUGAGAUACGGCCCAGACUCCUACGGGAGGCAGCAGUGGGGAAUAUUGCACAAUGGGCGGAAGCCUGAUGCAGCAACGCCGCGUGCGGGAUGACGGCCUUCGGGUUGUAAACCGCUUUCGCCUGUGACGAAGCGUGAGUGACGGUAAUGGGUAAAGAAGCACCGGCUAACUACGUG